rnacentral:rRNA from 1 species
UCAGAACGAACGCUGGCGGCAAGCUUAACACAUGCAAGUCGAACGGAUUGUUAUCAUAGCUUGCUAUGAUAACAAUUAGUGGCAGACGGGUGAGUAAUGCAUAGGAAUCUACCUAGUAGUAUGGGAUAGCCACUAGAAAUGGUGGGUAAUACUGUAUAAUCCCUGCGGGGGAAAGAUUUAUCGCUAUUAGAUGAGCCUAUGUUAGAUUAGCUAGUUGGUAGGGUAAAGGCCUACCAAGGCAGUGAUCUAUAGCUGGUCUGAGAGGAUGAUCAGCCACACUGGAACUGAGAUACGGUCCAGACUCCUACGGGAGGCAGCAGUGGGGAAUAUUGGACAAUGGGCGCAAGCCUGAUCCAGCUAUGCCGCG